GGCGCGGAGCCGGGCGCGGUCGGCGGCAGCGGGAGCGCGGCGGCGGCGGCGGCGGCGGACGGGGCCGGGCAGAGGCUGCCCUCUCGGCUGGGGAAAUCCUUUCCGGAUCCUGGCGGGAGGGAAGAGGCACGGAUGGGGUCCGAAGAUGUCUUGCCGGGCAAUCUCAACCUGAAGAGGACGCCCUGAGAGGAAGAAUCCUAGAUGCUCAUCUCGGAAACACAGCAAACAGCCAUUUAUUAAGAUUUCAUGCCGAGCAGCGACAGCCUCCUCGAAUGCUUAGCGUUGACAUAAACUUCCAGACGUCGAGCAUAUGCUGUUGCACAGCAUUGUUUAUGUGUGGUACCAGAUGUUGCUUUGCAUCCUAUUGUCUGGAGACAAUGUUUAGUUCAGGUUAAAAUAUCUUUACUUAAACUGCUCAGUUGGCCAUUGUGUGAGCAUUAGUGAAGUGUCAUGGAGAGGUAAUGGGAAGUCCGGGGAGGUUAGCUCUCCGAGCAUGGCCAGAAGGUCCCUGGUUCAUGGUGGGGUUACAGCCACCACUGUCAUCUUUUGUUUUCCCUCCUCAGAGAACCCUUGUCCUUCCUCUAAAAGGAUGUGCCCCGCUCUCAUUCCCUUCGGAGUUUUCUCCACCGUUUCAUGAAACGGCCCGAUGUUUGUUUUUCUAGUUCCCCUAAAUCGCCCGAAAGAGGAAAGGAAAGCACGGUCCUGCGUCACCGCCACCCCAGGCCGGGCCGGUCCAGGCGGAGCGGGGCGGCCCCACGGCCCCGCCCGGGGAUGCUGGCGCCGGGGGGAAAUGGGUCCCGGGAGCAGAGUUCACGCUCGAGCCAGGCCGGCGGCUCCCUCCCCCAAAAUGCCCGGCCGAGCCUCCUUCCCUCCCUCCGUCCCUGGCCGGGCGAGCGAAGGGGCGGCAGGGCGAGCGGGCCGGGCAGCCCCCUCCCGCCGCCCGGGGGGAAGCGGCCAGCCCGGAGCCUUUUCUUCCCUUUAACCCCGCAGUUUGGGCCGGCCGCGACAGCUGACCUGUGGCAAGACUUUUGCUCCGGGAGAGAGGGGAAAAAGCUAUAGACUUUAAUCGGAUUUCUCCCCAAACACUUCUGGUAUGUUGUUGUUAUGCAUCUAUAUGGAGAUCAUUAUUUAUAAAUGAGCGAGUACGAUCAGUCGCAAAGACUUUAAGAGCCCGGAUUUGUGUCAUUAAGUUGAGGGCAGGGUGUGUGACUUAGCGGGGUGGUGGCCGCUGGGGAUGGGGACGUCACUUGCCGCCCCGCUUUCCCUCCAGCCGCCGGGUCACCCCGGGCGGGUUCCCCCCUCUGGAGGCGGUGCGGGCCGGGGCUGCGGGCCGUGCCCCGCCAGCUCCGUCUUCUCUCCCUGCAGUCCCGCUUAACACAGUGCAGACAGAUUUCCCCGUGUACCAGGUGCCCCACGAAGAGUGGAGAAGAGGUGAGAACAUUUUCAGAAUCAGCAGGUUUUGUCGGUCACUCUAGGCCCUACCUUCUCUGCUCCCCGACAUUUGUGAAGCCACUUCAGGGCACAGUUAACAUCUCUCUAAAUGCUCGAAUUAAACAAAAAGCCACAUUGUGUAUUUCAGCAUUGAAAGCGGAGGUUUGCAAAGUGAUGCACCGUAUAAUGUAGAUGUGUUUGUGCGAUUUUCAGCAUUUUUGCCCGUGCAUAAUCCCUUAUGCCUUUUAUUAUAGCCCUACACAUUACAGUUCAUCUGUAAAGAUACUGCUUCAGAGGGACCUGUUGCACACAGUGAUGGUAAUUAGUAACCUUGGUAACAGUUUUAAAUAAAGGUUAUAACAAUGAUGUCAACUGUUUUUAUUCAUCAUACCGUAAAUGGGGUCUCAAUAUUAUUGUGCCUGUAGAGGACAGUGUUUAAGAAACAGUUAUGAGGUUCUACUUUACUUAUUACAAUGCAAGUUAUCACUUUUUACCUCGUCCUUAAGUAAACAGGAUUGUGGUUCUAAAUACUACAAAGAUUUUCAAACUGCCGAGGACUCUGUAAACUUUAAUUUGCUGAAUGAGGUAGAUGUUAUUAUGAAUUAGACUUAUCAGGCUCCAAGUACCCUUAUGAAGAACACUGUAGUCUUCCAGAGAAAUACCUCAGAAUAAGUACUGCUUAGAAACCGUAAUGCUAGCAGGGGCUAUACCAUUAGCCUUCUGCACAGGCUAUCUCCUCUAUUAAAGCUUACAGAAAAUGCUCACAAGCUGAAAGCUAAAUUAAAUAUAAUUGCUUUUAUUUACCUAUUGCUUUCAUAUAAUUAAAAUAUUUCUAGUUACAUUUAUCAAAUAGCAUCCACUUUGAGUAUUACCUGCCACAUCUAUUAAUCCAUUUUUCUGUAUUAACUACACCACCAUUAGCUAUUGAAAUAUGUAUAUAUACACAUAUAUAUUACCCGUAUUGUCUUUGUCAAGAUAUGUUUUAGUUCUCAUUAACAAAAAAUAUUCUUGUGGAAGAAUCUCUGAAGCAUGUUUUUCAUGCACAUUUAUUAAUAAUCACAGUUGUCAAGAAUUAGAUAUGCACAGAUUGCAAAUGGAAAGAAAAUGUUAUAUUCAAAAUGAAAUAUAGAGUAGAAUUGAGUAUAACUGUUUUCCUCCUUAAAAUAAAAAAUUUACAGAAUGAAAAAUGGAGCUAUUAAGCUUACUUAAAAGAUGGCUUUGUUGGUUUAAUUAUACUGUAGUUAUUUUAUAAAUAUGUUUCAAAGGAAGCUUGCCAUAUUGAAUGUCAAUGAAGCCUAUAAAGAAAAGACUUACAGAAGCUAAUGCAUACCAAAUACCAAAUUUUAGUCAUUAGCAUUCCUAUUUAUUACAAACUAGAGGAACCUAUUAACAGACAAGAAUUUGUGUUUAGCUAGCAUUACAAUGUUUAGCCAUUAAAAUAAAAAAGGGCAAAAACUUACAAUCUUCUUCCCCUGCCCUUUAGAAUUAUAUGUUCCUUUUACUCAGACAAAUGUAUCAAAAAGCCUGAUAACAGAAACUGUGAUUCUUCAUUAUUACCAUCUGUACCAAAGCAAAACCUGUAUUGUUUUAUUCAGCCGAAAUUUCUACUUUUUUCAAAGGGCCAGGGCUGUCUGCUCAAGCAAUUCAAAUAUUUUGCACGUACCUUAAUGCCUGCAUUGGAAGGACUUCUGGCCAUGGGGAAGCAAAGGUUGGCUUUGGGCUGAUCAGGCCCACAGGGCCAAGCCUGGAGGCUGCCAGGCCUCAUCCAGCAUCAGUAGGCACCUCUCUAUCACAUUCACCAGUUUAGAUCAAGUCUGGGGUGUGGAUAGCAGCUUUCAUGCUUAGGAUGGAGGAAGGAAGGACUAAACCAUUCAUGAGGUUAAGCAGGCUGCUAACCAGAAGUUUCUUUUCAGUGCUUGUCGCACAAUCAGCGUAUUUAUUCAUGUGCUGCCUAUUUGUUCAAGAAUUUAUUUAAAAUCUCUAGGCCAAGCAUUUCUACUUUUCAAAUACCCUUUAAGAAACUGUAUUUUUGUCUCUUUUGAAGACAAGUGUGUGCAAAUACACUACCCCUCAGAAUUUCUGAAAAAAAAUUAGGCUUAUUAUUAUGUAACAUAUUAAAUUUCAACUAUAAAUGAUAAAUAAACUUUCUCGUGCUUUUCACCAAACUCUAUCCUUUUGGUAAAAAGAGAAGUUUUACAUGAUUAGGUAACAAACUGAUAGAUCUUUUCCCUUUUUUGCAUCCCACACAGUCCUUGCCUUCUCAGCUUGUGAGUGAGCAUCACUCCUAGAGAUUGUUGCGUGCAUUCAAAUUGACAGAGAGAUUCAAAACAAGACCAAAGAAGCAGCACAACAUCUAGAGAAUGUCUGUGUAACAGAUGUUGUCAAAUGCUUGUUUUGCCUCAAAGAUUACUUCAGUUUUCAAAGAAUCCGGGGGAGAGAGAUGGAGAGCAGUUCAGGAAAGUUCAACCCAUCUGUUUAAUAUUUGUUUUCCAAUUUUCAUUGUUAAUUUCUAAACCAGGCUUUACACUUAAUUUAAUAAAGUGUUUGGUUUGACUAAUAAGGAUCACUUUUGAUUUUGCAAGACUAGAGGGAAGACUAGUACAAAGAAAAUUCACUGUAUAAACAUCCUGCCCAAGAAAGGAAGGUUCGCCCAUACUCCAUCUACAGGAUUUAGUCCUUUGUAGCCACAUACAGUGUGCAACAGAACCAUUUGGAAAAAUUCAUCUAUCAAGUUUAACAACUUUUUGGUGUAACUUCAGAGAGGUUUAUUGCUUAUUCAUGUGGAAGUGAGCACAGUGGCAAUGCCAGCACCAUGCAGCAGAUUGUGUCCUGACUGCAGCUACCCUGGAGCCUGAAUCCUCAUCUCAGCUCUCCUGCAGCUACCCUGGAGCCUGAAUCCUCAUCCCAGCUCUCCUGCAGCUACCCUGGAGCUUGAAUCCUCAUCCCAGCUCUCCUGCAAAUACCCUGGAGCCUGAAUCCUCAUCCCAGCUCUAAAGCCGUGCACACAGGAUUGGUGUUUGGUACAACAAAGACAGAAGCAGGAGACAGAACAGUGCAAGACCCAGUACAAAUCUAUAGCCUAAGUGGUACAGCCCUCCCAAUAUUCUUAACUUUUGUACAAAAUGCCCCCUGGAGACACGUUUACAGAGUUGCCAUUUCAGCAAAUGACAUUUUGCAUAUUCUUUGGAGAUGCCACAUAGGUAAUGCAGUCAUACCUAGCUCAAAGUGACCAUGUGAAUUGAACAUGACUCAGCUGCUCUCUGGAUUACACACACAGGGUAUUUUAUGUCAGCAGACAGUAAGAGGAGCUGAAGUGGGGCUAGAAAACGUCGAAAAGACAUCUUCCCUUCAGCACUGCCAUUUUGGUGAUGCUGCCAUGUUCUAUGCAGGUAGCAGCUUAUACUGGUGCAUGUGGAGAUCAGCUUUGUAACAGCAGAAUUUUUUUGUAAAAACCAAUAUUUCUCUCUUCACUGUGUUUCACCAGAAUUAAUACUCAGAAGGUAUUAAGGAAAUGUUCUAAAAGCUGUAGUGAUAUUGCUUCCGCAAGCUCCUGGUUAUCUUUCUUCUCUCGUUAGGGCAUAUCAAAGUUUAAUAGAGCCCCAUAUCACUUUCCCCCUAAUUCUGUACUUUAAUGUCCUGUUUUCUUUACUGAUUUUUUUUACUAUUCCUUGUGAAUUACUGAUCUGAUUAUUCCCUUUGCCCACACCUACCUGCUGUGGUCUCCUUCCUCAUGCUGGGGACAGAUUGGUUUAUUUUCUAAUUACCAGAAGGCUUUCUAUUUCUCUUUGGAAUUAUUUAAAAAAUAAAUUCUCUUUGUCAUUAAAGUUCCUGAGAUAUUUGAUCAUAAUUUAUUCUGAAGUUGUUUGUCUCCUUUAGACUUUUUAAAAUACUGUAAGUAUUUUACAAGUUAAAAUAUAUCUGAUCUCACUGUUAACAGCAAUCAGGUUUGAAGCAGAACCAAGUUAGGCCAAGUAAAUCUCCCUAUGAAACUUCCCAGCAUUCCACUGAUGCUCCAGUGCUUUCUUGCAGCAAACAUAAGUGCUUUGAGAAGGUUUGCUUUUGGUACAAAAACAAACAAACAAAUAAAGCUCCCACCAAAAGAACACAUGAUCUCCCCAUGCAUACUUGGGUUCAAAUUCCUGACCUGCUGUUUCUCUAGCUGCAGAGGACUGUGUCAAUUCACCCACAGCCUGGUAGUUAUCCUUGGGCAAGCUGCACUCCACAAUUCCUCCUGGAGGUGAUCUACUUCCUAUAACACAGCAUUCUUCAGAGUCAUUAUCUGAAUUUGCUUCCUCCUAUAUUGGGUGAGCAUCCCCACAACUGCACUGCAGAACUGCGCUGAAACUGAGCUGCACUUUCUAAUGAAAAUUCAUUUCAUUGCAAAACUCCCAAUCAGCUCUAAUUUGGAAGCCCCAGCUGAGCUCCUGCUGUGAUAUAUAUCAUAAGAGACAGAUCUUGCUGAGAAGGGCUGGCAGGUUGGAGAGAUGAAGGCUGAGAAGAAAAGCACAACAGAAAGGUGAAAUGGCUUCCUCAGAAUCACGCAAUGGGUCAGUGGCAGUUUUAGGUCUUAGUGCCAGCCACAGCCCAUGCUACCUCUCCCAUCCUGAGCUUACAGACAGACUUAGCUUUCCCUGGUCAUCUUUUAAUUAACUGGAUUAUUCUUGCAUGGAGGUUAACGCUUGGGUGCACAAGUUCAGCAGUUUUGAACCUUGCUGUUUACAAAGCAUCAUGUACAUAUAUAUGGCACCAUCAAAAACUUUAAAGUAACAGAUAACAAAGAUGUCACAGUAAAAUGCUUAAAAGCCAGGCCCUAUUCCACCAGAGUAGGCAAGAGGACAAAGAAUAUCAAGUAUUGUUCUAACUAAAGUCUGUCAGCUCCUCUGAACAAGGUAAGAAAUAUUAUUAGAAUUUCGCAGUUUGGAAAAUCCGGCAUAAGAUGGUGCACCUGAGCCUGUACAGGUUGUUAAGCCAAUACCAUGGUUAGAAUGUGAUGCAUUACUUAAACUUUUUCAGAUGCUUCCUUAAAUCUCUAAGGCAAUAAGAAUUUUUAGUUUUAAAGCAAUUUUAUUUUUUCUUCUGGCCUUACACUGAUUAGGCACAGAAUUAGAGAUGACUUGUAUAUUAUGAAUAGUGUACCAUUGUAUUUUAAAACUUUUUCCUAGGAGCUUUCUGAAACUAAAAUUUCUCUUUGAGGACAGCUGGUCCAUGCCCCAGAGGGAAAAGAUGCUUAUGUCAAGGCUGAGGUUAAUGAUUUUAAUUUGCAGUUUUUGUGGGAAUAUUGUUUUGAUUCUGCAGAUAUCACUGCCUCUCCAUUGUUUUAAAAAAGCAGCAAUACUUAAAUAAGGCUUUUCAUCUUAUUACCCCAAAACAUGUUUAAUUUUGUUUGACUAGAUCAUGUCAGUAUGUUAAUAGAAUAAUUGUUAUUCCAAACAUGCUUGGUGAACUUGAAUACCAAAGUGAAGUUUAUAUGUUUAAUCAAAUAUAUUCAGUAAUUCCAGUGGAAAAUGCAGAAGUGUUUUCUGUCAAUAUUUUCUUGACUUUAGAAAUGAGUAUACAUUGCCCAAAUUGUCAUUCUUGUGGAUCUAUUUUCUAUCCAUAUCCAAGCAAUUGAAUUUAUUUGUAUGACUGUUUACAAUGGCUGAAAAGGGAAAAAAAAAACCCACAAGGUCACAUUGGCAAUACUUGCUGGAAGUGCUUUUACAGGUAUGUGAUCAAGGGAAGGAAACAUCUUGCAGAUUUUCAAGCCGAUUUUCAUGAGUUGACAGAUGGGUCAUAAAACCAGCUGCAAUUCCCAAAACCAUACUGUAUUUUUGGUUGUAUUAUAAAAAGGCAGCCAUUUCUCUUUUUUGUCUCUCAUGCAACAUUUCAUCUUUCCUUCUGCAUGAGCUGAUGACUUAAUUCUCGUCUAGUUCCUUCAGAGAGCUUCAAAAGAGAAAAAAAAAGGCUUAAAAAUAUUACUUAAUAAAAAGCCUAUCCAUAGUGCUAUCACCAGUGCUAUUUGGUUUAGAAGCCAAGCAGGGAACCUUGGGGUGAGAGCUGCCCAUGGAAUGGUAUUAUGCAGGCAUGGGCAAGUGGCAGGAUAGCGUGGAAAGAAUGGGAAAAGGAGCUUUGGAUCUUUGGGAGCAGAGGAGAUUCUGAGAGGACACUUGAAGAAACAGCACAGAAGUGGGAUAUAAAAUGGAAAGAUCAGAGGAAGAAUGAUCUUGAGGGCACAGGAGCAGAACAGGGAAGUGCAAAGAGCCUUUAGGACCAAGAGGGAGUUAAUGGGUUCUGUGAGGCUCCUUGCUGCUAUUGACCCAGCUACCUCUCAGGAUAUCAUUGUGGGGAAAUGCCCAAAGGGAAUUUGUUGAAUGUGGUGUGUAAACUUUCUAUAUAUUGAUCACUAAACUCUCCACAUUUUCUAGAAACAGCUUUCUCCAGUAGUGACUUACAGACACAGCCAGGAGAGAAUAUUUGUGGAUGGGCUUUUGGUGGGUGGCGUGGCUGGCAGAGAGCAGGUGAAGGCAGUGCCCCUGAGCUCAAGUGUAUCAUGUUUGCAAUUUGUUUCAGGACUGACCCUGAACCUUCCAGGUCCUGGAAGAUUUUCUGUCCUCAGGGAAUGUGAGGAAGUGUGGAGACAAAGGGAGAGACUUGAAAUAUUUCUCCAGGAAGAAAAGAUGUAAAUAUUCUUGUAUAUUGGCUGAUGGCUUUUAAAGAUUUUGCUAAAUAGUAUGGUUUUAUUACUUCUAAUAGUAGAAAAACAAGUGGAAAAGAAAACAUAAAGUUGUUCUAGGAUCACAGUUGUUAUACAUUUCCUCAGAUUAUCUUAGUUGGAAACCUCAUUUGAGAUAAGACAUUCUUCUUUUUAGUGGUAUAGCUCCUGUUAUUAUAGAAUUAAGGUAUGAUGAUUUUAUUGUUAACAAACAGUAAAAUAUAGUCCAAUGUUUUCAUCACAUUCAAAAAUGCCAUAGAACUUCUGAUGGAAGUAUGUUAUUCUUGCUUCUAGAUAAAGAACCUCAAAAAAGGUUAUUCAUUAUGAAAAUUCACCUUUCCCAAUGAUAUGUAUUUUCAACAUCUACAGUGUAUUCAGAGUAUUUUGUGUAGCUUCUCUGCUCUGAAAAAUCCAUGGACAAAUUUUACAGAGAUAGUUAGAUGAUGUAGAUAUAGCUGUAUCUAUUUUUCUUUUAGGUGAAAGUGGCAGCUGAAAAAAAUCUGUUCUUUCAAAGAAGCAACGAAGCAGCAAAGCAGCAGUAUAGGGUCAGAGCUGGAAGUCCUUCUGCUGUAAAUCCACACCAAUCCAACUAAGAUCAAGCACUUGUGAAUAUUAAAUUCACACUAGUGUAGCUGAGAGUAGAAAUGGCCUUUGUUUUUGAAACCCUCGGAGUCCAAAGUGAAAAAAAAAAAGGAGCAGGGUUUAACCUUUAAACCUUUCACUGACCUUUAAGCAGUACUUUGGAUUAUAUCUGCCCUUGUUAAUCUGAAGCCACUUGCAAACAUAACUGGCAUUCCUGUUUUUCAAGUAUACUUUAUGUACAUUAUAGAAUGUGUUAGCAAUUGAAAAGUUUGGCUCCUGUUCAUUGUGUCUUUCUCACCUUUUAAAGUGAUGCUUAUCUUUGUAAACAAAAUUUUAUAGUUAGCAACAACACAAGAAAAGCUUUGUGUUGAAGUGCAUCAUGUAAGUGAUGGCCAGGCAUAGAUCUAUACUCUUGGAGGUGCAAACCCACAUGUUGAUCAAGACAUCAAAUUUUGUAGAAUUCCUGUAUUAAUGUAGAGCUCAACAAGGAUCAGCUUUGUUAGCACCUCUUUCUAUCACAGGUGAGUAGAAACUUCAGCAAUUUUUGGCCAGACUAUUAUUUUUUCUUCUUUGGCUUUUCUUUCUUUCACACUAUUCACAUCACUGCUUUGCAUGCACUUUUUUCUCACAUAUACCUUCCCCAUACAUAUCUUCAUUCUGGUCUAUUAAAUCCAAACUACAGGUACAAAUGACAUAAAAUGAAUAAUGAAUUUAUCUUGGACAAGAUCUCACUGUUCUCAUAAUCUAAACAGAGUUUAAUUAACAUUAGAAACAUCUACUUCUUGAUAUAAAUAAAAUAGUCUAAAACUGGUGAUUGUCAUUUCCCCUUUUCAUUCACACAAUGAUUGCAAAAUGUCCUGCCAUUCACAUGGAAAUUUGUCUUCUAAGUAUGUCUGUCUUUAGUGGAAAAAUGUCAUGGGCAGAGCACAAAUCUGUAGAGGAUGUAUAUGUUUAAGAAAUAUCAGCUAUUUCAUAUUCUGUGUCCAUAAUUUGAAUCAGGAAUUUUCCUGCUGGAUUGUUACAGUAACACAGAGGAACCAAUGCACUGCCCCUUACAUUUAAGCUACUCUUCAAGUGCAGAAAUGCUGGCCUUAGAAAUUGACAAAAUUACAAACAAGUUAUUUUACCUUGAAGUAUGAAAUGCUGGAAAUUGCUGAGACAACCUAGCACAACAGAGACAUUCAGGCUGAAUCAGUGUGAAAAACACCAUUGUAGGUUUAGAAAGAUAAAUGGAUGGGUAAAGUUUUACCAGGACUUGACAUGGUAAAGACAUUGACUGUCAUAGGCUUUUAAAGAAAUAAAGAGUUGAUAAGCAGAGAGCAAACACUGAAAGGUCUUGUGAUGUAGCUGGUGAAAAGCACCUGUUUUCUAUGGUGGAUAUUUAUUUGAAUAUGAAAAGUACUAUACAUUUUUUAUCAUCUCCCCAUCUCUUGCUGUUGCGUGUUGGAGAAUGACUAAAUCUCUGGAGAGGAAUCAGAUCUGUAAAAGUUGUCAGUUGUUAAGACAAGGUAUUCAGUGAAUAAAUGAAUUAUUGUACUGAAGUCCUUUAUUGAAUAUUCCUGUGUCACUGCUUUAGUUAAGUAUCAAGAACACAGGCAUUUAACAAUAUUACUUUAAAUUCAAAAUGCCUUGAAAGUACUGAGAUUCAAUUUGCAAAUGUAACCAAGAAUAAAACAUGUGCCUUGGAUUACAUGUCACUUCUUGGGAUGUUUUGACAUAUCACAUUUAGAAAAUACUUUCCUGUGACAGAAAUGAUUAAAAUAAAUUUCAGUUAUCUGUGA